rnacentral:rRNA from 1 species
CCUGGCUCCGUUUGAGGCUAGCUACAGGCUUAACACAUGCAAGUCGAGGGGCAUCAGGAAGAAAGCUUGCUUUCUUUGCUGGCGACCGGCGCACGGGUGAGUAACACGUAUCCAACCUGCCCUUUACUCGGGGAUAGCCUUUCGAAAGAAAGAUUAAUACCCGAUAGCAUAAUGAUUCCGCAUGGUUUCAUUAUUAAAGGAUUCCGGUAAAGGAUGGGGAUGCGUUCCAUUAGGUUGUUGGUGAGGUAACGGCUCACCAAGCCUUCGAUGGAUAGGGGUUCUGAGAGGAAGGUCCCCCACAUUGGAACUGAGACACGGUCCAAACUCCUACGGGAGGCAGCAGUGAGGAAUAUUGGUCAAUGGGCGCGAGCCUGAACCAGCCAAGUAGCGUGAAGGAUGACUGCCCUAUGGGUUGUAAACUUCUUUUAUAUUAGAAUAAAGUGCAGUAUGUAUACUGUUUUGUAUGUAUAAUAUGAAUAAGGAUCGGCUAACUCCGUGCCAGCAGCCGCGGUAAUACGGAGGAUCCGAGCGUUAUCCGGAUUUAUUGGGUUUAAAGGGAGCGUAGGUGGACUGGUAAGUCAGUUGUGAAAGUUUGCGGCUCAACCGUAAAAUUGCAGUUGAUACUGUCAGUCUUGAGUACAGUAGAGGUGGGCGGAAUUCGUGGUGUAGCGGUGAAAUGCUUAGAUAUCACGAAGAACUCCGAUUGCGAAGGCAGCUCACUGGACUGCAACUGACACUGAUGCUCGAAAGUGUGGGUAUCAAACAGGAUUAGAUACCCUGGUAGUCCACACAGUAAACGAUGAAUACUCGCUGUUUGCGAUAUACAGUAAGCGGCCAAGCGAAAGCAUUAAGUAUUCCACCUGGGGAGUACGCCGGCAACGGUGAAACUCAAAGGAAUUGACGGGGGCCCGCACAAGCGGAGGAACAUGUGGUUUAAUUCGAUGAUACGCGAGGAACCUUACCCGGGCUUAAAUUGCAGUGGAAUGAUGUGGAAACAUGUCAGUGAGCAAUCACCGCUGUGAAGGUGCUGCAUGGUUGUCGUCAGCUCGUGCCGUGAGGUGUCGGCUUAAGUGCCAUAACGAGCGCAACCCUUAUCUUUAGUUACUAACAGGUCAUGCUGAGGACUCUAGAGAGACUGCCGUCGUAAGAUGUGAGGAAGGUGGGGAUGACGUCAAAUCAGCACGGCCCUUACGUCCGGGGCUACACACGUGUUACAAUGGGGGGUACAGAAGGCAGCUACCUGGUGACAGGAUGCUAAUCCCAAAAGCCUCUCUCAGUUCGGAUCGAAGUCUGCAACCCGACUUCGUGAAGCUGGAUUCGCUAGUAAUCGCGCAUCAGCCACGGCGCGGUGAAUACGUUCCCGGGCCUUGUACACACCGCCC